ensembl:lncRNA
GAUUGAUAUAAAUGUCGUGGUAUCUGAUUGAUAUAAAUGUAAUGGUAUCUGAUUGAGUUGACAUGUUAACUUUCAAUCUCCACUACAGACAACAUUAAUGAUGUUCUCGUUAAACUAGGAAAUAUCAUUUAUUACAUAAAAAGUAUAUUUAGUUACAGGUUAAGAAGGCUAGAUGCUUUAUUUACAGUUUUACAGAGUUAAAUGAAAACAAAUGUAUGUCUGCUGUCUGUUUUUCUAGUAACAAAAUGACACGGGUUCGGAUCAUAAUCAAAAGCGUAUUCCUUGUUUUCUCUUUGACCAGACAGCAAUGUGGAGGAGGCAGACACAGACACAGGUACAGGUAUCGUCCUUUUGGGGGCUCCAUCAAACGUCAGCUGUCUCCCACCCCCAGGGGAAAGAAUGGACCAGUGGAUACACAACAUCUGAUCUGAAGUCAGCACACCGGCCUCUAAGAGCAGCCCUACUUCUAGCCAACCUCACCUCUGCAUCACACAGUUCAAGGUUUAGGAGAGAGAGAGAAAACAGUACUCCGUAGUACUCAAUAGUACUUCAGUAGUACUUCAGUGUUCCACGGUCUGUGUUUCAGAUGUCUUUUUCCGUUGGAAAGGAUUCUAUAGGAGAGCAAAAUGUUCGUCAUCAUCAUUGUCCUCCUCCUCCUCUUCAUCCUCCUCCUCAUCCUUGUUUUCUAUUCUUCUUAGUAGCUCUGUAUUCCAUAGUCAGCCCAUUAAUUGAAUAUACCACCUUAGUGAGGACUUAACUCAUCACCCCUGUGUGUGUCUAUAUGCCUUGAUCUGAACUCUCACAGAGAAAAAUAUAUAUAUACAUACUAUUUCAGGGAUUGGAACCAAACAUUCACUGUUUUUUUGUUUGUUUGUACUUGCAUAGUCCUGUAGCUUAGGUACAGCGAUAUGACACAGAGCUGUCGAGAUAUGAGACACACACAGACAGACGGAGUUCAACCAAUCAUUUUCUGUCCAUUCAUUUCGCACAACAACAGUGAAAUGGUUCAUCAUUUACUUGGAGAAGAGAAAGUGAAUAUACUGUGCCUGUGUUUUGGUUUCUGCGGUCUCAGAAAGGCCACAUCCCAAAUGGCACCCUAUUCCCUAUAUAGUGCACUACUUUUGACCAGCGCCCAUAGGACCCAAAGUAGUGCACUAUUUUAGACCAGGGCCCAUAGCAUACAAAGUAGUGCACUACUUUAGACCAGGGCCCAUAGCAUACAAAGUAGUGCACUACUUUAGACCAGGGCCCAUAGCAUACAAAGUAGUGCACUACUUUAGACCAGGGCCCAUAGCAUACAAAGUAGUGCACUAUUUUAGACCAGGGCCCAUAGCAUCCAAAGUAGUGCACUACUUUAGACCAGGGCCCAUAGCAUACAAAGUAGUGCACUACUUUAGACCAGGGCCCAUAGCAUACAAAGUAGUGCACUACUUUAGACCAGGGCCCAUAGAAUACAAAGUAGUGCACUACUUUAGACCAGGGCCCAUAGCAUACAAAGUAGUGCACUACUUUAGACCAGGGCCCAUAGCAUCCAAAGUAGUGCACUAUUUUAGACCAGGGCCCAUAGCAUCCAAAGUAAUACACUAAUUUAGACCAGGGCCCCAUAGGAUCCAAAGUAGUGCACUAUUUUAGACCAGGGCCCAUAGGACUCAAAGUAGUGCACUAUAAAGGGCAUAGGGUGCCAUUUGGGAUGCAUACUCAGAGUUUUUGAAUACUUUUUGGCUUCUAGGGAUAAUAAUCCUAACGUACUGUAGAUAGAAAUAUAAAGUAUUUGAACAAUAAGCACAGACAUCCUGCUGUGUUUGACAGUAAUGAUUGGAACAACAAUAUUCUGACAACGCAAGAAGUAGCAUGAAGACCCUGACCAGAAAGCAGAUGGUUAAAACAUGUGUAUAAUGAAAGAAGAAGACGAACAAAGAGAAGAAGAAGAAGAUGAAAGAGAAGAAGAACAACAAAGAGAAGAAGAAGAAAGAGAAGAAGAAGAAGGAGAAAGAGAAUAAGAGGAACAGAGAAGAAGAAGAAGAAGAAAGAGAAUAAGAGGAACAGAGAAGAAGAAGAAGAAGAAGAAAGAGAAUAAGAGGAACAAAGAGAAGAAGAAGAAGAAAGAGAAUAAGAGGAACAAAGAGAAGAAGAAGAAGAAGGAGAAUAAGAGGAACAAAGAGAAGAAGAAGAAGAAGGAGAAUAAGAGGAACAAAGAGAAGAAGAAGAAGAAGGAGAAAGAGAAUAAGAGGAACAAAGAGAAGAAGAAGAAGAAAGAGAAUAAGAGGAACAAAGAGAAGAAGAAGAAGAAAGAGAAUAAGAGGAACAAAGAGAAGAAGAAGAAGAAAGAGAAUAAGAGGAACAGAGAAGAAGAAGAAGAAGAAGAAAGAGAAUAAGAGGAACAAAGAGAAGAAGAAGAAGAAAGAGAAUAAGAGGAACAAAGAGAAGAAGAAGAAGAAGGAGAAUAAGAGGAACAAAGAGAAGAAGAAGAAGAAGGAGAAUAAGAGGAACAAAGAGAAGAAGAAGAAGAAGGAGAAUAAGAGGAACAAAGAGAAGAAGAAGAAGAAGGAGAAAGAGAAUAAGAGGAACAAAGAGAAGAAGAAGAAGAAAGAGAAUAAGAGGAACAAAGAGAAGAAGAAGAAGAAAGAGAAUAAGAGGAACAGAGAAGAAGAAGAAGAAGAAGAAAGAGAAUAAGAGGAACAAAGAGAAGAAGAAGAAGAAAGAGAAUAAGAGGAACAAAGAGAAGAAGAAGAAGAAGGAGAAUAAGAGGAACAAAGAGAAGAAGAAGAAGAAGGAGAAUAAGAGGAACAAAGAGAAGAAGAAGAAGAAGGAGAAAGAGAAUAAGAGGAACAAAGAGAAGAAGAAGAAGAAAGAGAAUAAGAGGAACAAAGAGAAGAAGAAGAAAAAAGAGAAUAAGAACAAAGAGAAGAAGAAGAAAAAAGAGAAUAAGAGGAACAAAGAGAAGAAGAAGAAGAAGGAGAAAGAGAAUAAGAGGAACAAAGAGAAGAAGAAGAAAGAGAAGAAGAAGAAAAAAGAGAAUAAGAGGAACAAAGAGAAGAAGAAGAAGAAGGAGAAAGAGAAUAAGAGGAACAGAGAGAAGAAGAAGAAAGAGACAGAUAGAAAUCAAAGAGUGGAAGAGAAUGACUAAAAGAGGUCAACAAACAGACAGGUAGAGAUGGAAAGGCAGAAACAAGUAAAGGGAAACAGCAUAAAAAGCUGAAGGUCAAGUUUCUGCUGCCAGUAGUUCAAUACAAGGCCACAUUAACCUGCAAAUAUGCACAAUCCUUCUCCCAUCAAUACCAGUACAGACAGGCCUCCCUCUCUUCUGCUCAAUCACAGCAAAGUAGAAUGUCAACACAGCAAAGUAGAAUGUCAAUCACAGCAAAGUAGAAUGUCAACACACCGAAUAGAAUGUCAACACAGCAAAGUAGAAUGUCAAUCACAGCAAAGUAGAAUGUCAAUCACAGCAAAUCAAAACGUGCGUUUGUUGUUUUACAGAUUAGUUUCAACCACUUUGAGACGAGUACAGACACAGUAUUGAAAAUGA